CAGUAGCCACGGUAAUACGUAGGGUGCAAGCGUUAAUCGGAAUUACUGGGCGUAAAGCGUGCGCAGGCGGUUAUAUAAGACAGAUGUGAAAUCCCCGGGCUCAACCUGGGAACUGCAUUUGUGACUGUAUAGCUAGAGUACGGCAGAGGGGGAUGGAAUUCCGCGUGUAGCAGUGAAAUGCGUAGAUAUGCGGAGGAACACCGAUGGAGAAGGCAAUCCCCUGGGCCUGUACUGACGCUCAUGCACGAAAGCGUGGGGAGCAAACAGGAUUAGAUACCCCCGUAGUCCCUGUCUCUUAUAC
rnacentral:rRNA from 1 species